UACUCGAGUGGCGAACGGGUGAGUAACACGUGGGUGAUCUGCCCUGCACUUGGGAUAAGCCUGGGAAACUGGGUCUAAUACCGGAUAGGAGCCAUUUUUAGUGUGAUGGUUGGAAAGUUUUUUCGGUGUAGGAUGAGCUCGCGGCCUAUCAGCUUGUUGGUGGGGUAAUGGCCUACCAAGGCGGCGACGGGUAGCCGGCCUGAGAGGGUGGACGGCCACAUUGGGACUGAGAUACGGCCCAG
rnacentral:rRNA from 1 species